GCUCUCUGAGCUCUGCAUCGUUACACUUGGCUUCACCUGUGUGACUUUCCUAAUGGGGAGAGAAAGAAAAUAGCACCUCAAGACCUCGGAUUGGCCUUAGGGUGGCCUCUCUUUUCUUGAGGGGUACAAUGGGU
ensembl:snoRNA